GACGUAGGGCGCGAGCGUUGUCCGGAUUUAUUGGGCGUAAAGAGCUCGUAGGCGGCUUGUCGCGUCGUCCGUGAAAACCCGCGGCUCAACUGUGGGCGGGCAGCUGAUACGGGCAGGCUGGAGUUCAGUAGGGGAGACUGGAAUUCCUGGUGUAGCGGUGAAAUGCGCAGAUAUCAGGAGGAACACCGGUGGCGAAGGCGGGUCUCUGGGCCGAUACUGACACUGAUGAGCGAAAGCCAGGGGAGCAAACGGG
rnacentral:rRNA from 1 species